rnacentral:rRNA from 1 species
AAUCAGCAGGGAAAGAAGACCUUGUUGAGCUUAACUCUAGUCUGACUUUAUGAAAUGACUUCAGAGGUGUAGGAUAAGUGGGAGCCAAAAGGCAAAAGUAAAAUACCACCACUUUUAACAUUAUUUUACUUAUUUCGUAAAUUGGAGGCAGGGCACUGUUCCUCUUUUUGGACCCAAGGCUCACUUUGUGGGCUUAUCCGAGCUAAACACAUUGUCGAUGAGGAGUUUGGCUGAGGCGGCACAUUUGUUAAAAGAUAAUGUAGGUGUCCUAAAAUGAGCUCAACGAGAAAAAAAAUUUCGUGUGGAAUAGAAGAGUAAAAGCUCUUUUGAUUCUGAUUUACAGUACGAAUACGAACUGUGAAAGUUUCGCCUAAUGAUCCUUUAGACCUUUGAAAUUUGAAGCUAGAGGUGUCAAAAAAGUUACCACAGGGAUAACUAGUUUGUGGCAGCCAAGCGUUCAUAACAUGUUGCUUUUUGAUCCUUCGAUGUCGGCUCUUCCUAUCAUUGUUAAGCAAAAUUCACCAAGUGUCAGAUUGUUCACCCACCAAUAGGAAACGUGAGCUGGAUUAUGACUAAAUGUCGACAGGCUAGUUUUAUCCUAUUGAUGAUAGUGUCACAGUAGUAAUUCAACCUAGUAUGAGAGAAACCAUUGAUUCACACAAUUUGUCAUCGCGCUUGGUUGAAAAACCAGUGGCGUGAAGCUACCAUGCACUGGUUUAUGACUGAAUGACUCUAAGUUGGAAUUCGGGCUAGAAGCGAUGCGCGCAUCCGCCAUUCACUUGUUGACCCACAGUAGGGGCCUCACGGCCCCAGGGGCACAUGUCGUUGGCAAAGCCC